CAGCCGCCGGGAAUACGGAGGGAGCUAGCGUUGUUCGGAAUCACUGGGCGUAAAGCGCACGUAGGCGGCUAUUCAAGUCAGGGGUGAAAGCCCGGGGCUCAACCCCGGAACUGCCUUUGAAACUAGAUAGCUUGAAUCUUGGAGAGGCGAGUGGAAUUCCGAGUGUAGAGGUGAAAUUCGUAGAUAUUCGGAAGAACACCAGUGGCGAAGGCGACUCGCUGGACAAGUAUUGACGCUGAGGUGCGAAAGCGUGGGGAGCAAACAGGAUUAGAUACCCCUGUAGUCCCUGUCUCUUAUACAC
rnacentral:rRNA from 1 species